AAUUUUGAAGGGCUUCAUCUUAGGUCAGAAAGUGUGUGAUUGUGUCUGUUGUGCUUGGUGAGGUUACUGUCAGUCUCUGUGUUCACUGGUCUGUGUCCCACUCUCUUCCUGCUGUAACAGCUCAUGUCUCUGCGUCUGACUGAGGGAGGUUUUUGUACGACUGUAAAUCACUGUGUCAACACAGGUGCUCUGCUGAUUAUAUGGAAGCUCUGACAGUAGUAAACUGCUGCAUCUUCACUCUGAACUCCACUGAUGGUUAAGGUGAAGCUAGAACCAGAGCCACUGCCACUGAAUCGAGAGGGAAUUCCUGUUUCUAGAGUUGAUGCUAAGUACAUAAGAAGCUUGGGAGCCUGUCCAGGUUUCUGCUGGUACCAGGACAAAUAAUCAUUAUCACCAUUGUUAUAAGCACUGGGGUUGGUGUUACAGGUCAGAGUGACAGUGGAUCCUGGAGUAAAUGUCACGACUGGAGGCUGAGUCACAGUCACCUGGCCGCUGCAUCCUGCACACAAACACAAAUCAUACAUUAAUCAGCGGAGGUGAAGAGAGAGAACAGGCAGCGCAUCACGUCUGAAAUGUUGCUGAGUGACUGAACCUGUGAAGCUGCAGCAGGCCAGCGUCCAGAUGAGGAGGGUGAUGAGAGUCAUGGUGGUUGUGGUCGACUGACGGGUCUGAGUCCUGCAGAGUUGGAGUCACAGGACUAUAAAGCUUCUCAGUUCAGUGGAGGAUCAGCUGACGAUGCAAAGCCUCCUCUCUAUGGAAAUGAUUCCUCUGCUCUGAGCGGACUGAAGGUGACGUGGGACACAAACUCAGGAGCGUUGCUGUUUGGAUUCACACUAAAUAUUAAGAAGCACAAUUGAGGGUCGUCAGCAUCUGGAUUCAAAUUGUGUCACUUUCAUUGAUGCAAAUAUGUGUAUUUCAUUCCCAUUGAAUUACAGAGAGGUUUUUGUACAAGCACCUAAUGAGUCUGUAUCACUGUGGUGGACUUUCGGUGGAGGAACCAAACUAGUCAGUAACGUGGGUGUGGUGCGGCCCACCCUGACCCUCCUCCCCCCCUCCAGUGAAGAGCUGCAGCAGGGCAGUGUCACUCUGGUGUGUAUGGCCAGCGGGGGCUUCCCCUCAGCCUGGUGCCUUGGCUGGAAGGUGGGGGGCAGCAUCAGGUCCUCAGGGGUGUCUCACAGCCCGGGGGUCCUGGGGGGGGGCGGCCAGUACAGCUGGAGCAGCACCUUGAGUCUCCCUGCAGACCAGUGGAGGAAGGCGGGCUCAGUGAGCUGUGAGGCCAGUCUGGAUGGACAGAGCCCUGUCACUCAAACCCUGGACCCUGACCUCUGCUCAGAGUAGAGAGACGACAGCACUUCCUGUCUGACAUGAUGCUGAUUCUUUGAUGAGCUGCACAUCUCCUCUCUGCAGCUUUCUGCUGGGUUUUAGUGUCCAUGUUGCUUUUCAGUAUUGAUCAUCUGCAUAUUCUGCUUCAUCUUCGAUAUUUUUGUAAUUAAACUGACUUUUAUUAGUUUCAUUCUAAUUUUGAACAAAACUACUUAUUCAUCAAAUUAUCAUAAUCAUCAAUUAAUAAAACUGUGUGUCACAAUAAA